UUAAGCGACUAAGCGUACACGGUGGAUGCCCUGGCAGUCAGAGGCGAUGAAGGACGUGCUAAUCUGCGAUAAGCGUCGGUAAGGUGAUAUGAACCGUUAUAACCGGCGAUUUCCGAAUGGGGAAACCCAGUGUGAUUCGUCACACUAUCAUUAACUGAAUCCAUAGGUUAAUGAGGCGAACCGGGGGAACUGAAACAUCUAAGUACCCCGAGGAAAAGAAAUCAACCGAGAUUCCCCCAGUAGCGGCGAGCGAACGGGGAGCAGCCCAGAGCCUGAAUCAGUGUGUGUGUUAGUGGAAGCGUCUGGAAAGGCGCGCGAUACAGGGUGACAGCCCCGUACACAAAAAUGCACAUACUGUGAGCUCGAUGAGUAGGGCGGGACACGUGGUAUCCUGUCUGAAUAUGGGGGGACCAUCCUCCAAGGCUAAAUACUCCUGACUGACCGAUAGUGAACCAGUACCGUGAGGGAAAGGCGAAAAGAACCCCGGCGAGGGGAGUGAAAAAGAACCUGAAACCGUGUACGUACAAGCAGUGGGAGCACAGAGCAAUCUGUGUGACUGCGUACCUUUUGUAUAAUGGGUCAGCGACUUAUAUUCUGUAGCAAGGUUAACCGAAUAGGGGAGCCGAAGGGAAACCGAGUCUUAACUGGGCGUUAAGUUGCAGGGUAUAGACCCGAAACCCGGUGAUCUAGCCAUGGGCAGGUUGAAGGUUGGGUAACACUAACUGGAGGACCGAACCGACUAAUGUUGAAAAAUUAGCGGAUGACUUGUGGCUGGGGGUGAAAGGCCAAUCAAACCGGGAGAUAGCUGGUUCUCCCCGAAAGCUAUUUAGGUAGCGCCUCGUGAAUUCAUCUCCGGGGGUAGAGCACUGUUUCGGCAAGGGGGUCAUCCCGACUUACCAACCCGAUGCAAACUGCGAAUACCGGAGAAUGUUAUCACGGGAGACACACGGCGGGUGCUAACGUCCGUCGUGAAGAGGGAAACAACCCAGACCGCCAGCUAAGGUCCCAAAGUCAUGGUUAAGUGGGAAACGAUGUGGGAAGGCCCAGACAGCCAGGAUGUUGGCUUAGAAGCAGCCAUCAUUUAAAGAAAGCGUAAUAGCUCACUGGUCGAGUCGGCCUGCGCGGAAGAUGUAACGGGGCUAAACCAUGCACCGAAGCUGCGGCAGCGACACUAUGUGUUGUUGGGUAGGGGAGCGUUCUGUAAGCCUGUGAAGGUGUACUGUGAGGUAUGCUGGAGGUAUCAGAAGUGCGAAUGCUGACAUAAGUAACGAUAAAGCGGGUGAAAAGCCCGCUCGCCGGAAGACCAAGGGUUCCUGUCCAACGUUAAUCGGGGCAGGGUGAGUCGACCCCUAAGGCGAGGCCGAAAGGCGUAGUCGAUGGGAAACAGGUUAAUAUUCCUGUACUUGGUGUUACUGCGAAGGGGGGACGGAGAAGGCUAUGUUGGCCGGGCGACGGUUGUCCCGGUUUAAGCGUGUAGGCUGGUUUUCCAGGCAAAUCCGGAAAAUCAAGGCUGAGGCGUGAUGACGAGGCACUACGGUGCUGAAGCAACAAAUGCCCUGCUUCCAGGAAAAGCCUCUAAGCAUCAGGUAACAUCAAAUCGUACCCCAAACCGACACAGGUGGUCAGGUAGAGAAUACCAAGGCGCUUGAGAGAACUCGGGUGAAGGAACUAGGCAAAAUGGUGCCGUAACUUCGGGAGAAGGCACGCUGAUAUGUAGGUGAAGUCCCUCGCGGAUGGAGCUGAAAUCAGUCGAAGAUACCAGCUGGCUGCAACUGUUUAUUAAAAACACAGCACUGUGCAAACACGAAAGUGGACGUAUACGGUGUGACGCCUGCCCGGUGCCGGAAGGUUAAUUGAUGGGGUCAGCGCAAGCGAAGCUCUUGAUCGAAGCCCCGGUAAACGGCGGCCGUAACUAUAACGGUCCUAAGGUAGCGAAAUUCCUUGUCGGGUAAGUUCCGACCUGCACGAAUGGCGUAAUGAUGGCCAGGCUGUCUCCACCCGAGACUCAGUGAAAUUGAACUCGCUGUGAAGAUGCAGUGUACCCGCGGCAAGACGGAAAGACCCCGUGAACCUUUACUAUAGCUUGACACUGAACAUUGAGCCUUGAUGUGUAGGAUAGGUGGGAGGCUUUGAAGUGUGGACGCCAGUCUGCAUGGAGCCGACCUUGAAAUACCACCCUUUAAUGUUUGAUGUUCUAACGUUGACCCGUAAUCCGGGUUGCGGACAGUGUCUGGUGGGUAGUUUGACUGGGGCGGUCUCCUCCUAAAGAGUAACGGAGGAGCACGAAGGUUGGCUAAUCCUGGUCGGACAUCAGGAGGUUAGUGCAAUGGCAUAAGCCAGCUUGACUGCGAGCGUGACGGCGCGAGCAGGUGCGAAAGCAGGUCAUAGUGAUCCGGUGGUUCUGAAUGGAAGGGCCAUCGCUCAACGGAUAAAAGGUACUCCGGGGAUAACAGGCUGAUACCGCCCAAGAGUUCAUAUCGACGGCGGUGUUUGGCACCUCGAUGUCGGCUCAUCACAUCCUGGGGCUGAAGUAGGUCCCAAGGGUAUGGCUGUUCGCCAUUUAAAGUGGUACGCGAGCUGGGUUUAGAACGUCGUGAGACAGUUCGGUCCCUAUCUGCCGUGGGCGCUGGAGAAUUGAGGGGGGCUGCUCCUAGUACGAGAGGACCGGAGUGGACGCAUCACUGGUGUUCGGGUUGUCAUGCCAAUGGCACUGCCCGGUAGCUAAAUGCGGAAGAGAUAAGUGCUGAAAGCAUCUAAGCACGAAACUUGCCCCGAGAUGAGUUCUCCCUGACUCCUUGAGAGUCCUGAAGGAACGUUGAAGACGACGACGUUGAUAGGCCGGGUGUGUAAGCGCAGCGAUGCGUUGAGCUAACCGGUACUAAUGAACCGUGAGGCUUAACCU
rnacentral:rRNA from 1 species